UAAAUUAAAAAAUAUUAAAUUAAAUAAUUAUUUUAUAAUAAAUUUAUUAAAAAAUAUUACUUUUCUAAUAGUCGAACGAUGAUUGGUAUGAACGUUUCGAGUGUGUACAAAAAAAAAAUAUACAUCUCAUUUCAGUUCCACAUGCGCGCUCUCACUAUCUCAUUCUCGCACCAACUCUUGUCCCACCCCUUUUCGUUCUCGUUGUCGUGGGUGCUAGCUUUGGAGCUUCGUCUCCGUCCUCCAUCGCACCAGCUCUCAUCUCUCCAUCCGUCGUUCCCACUACAGUGAUUCUCGCCAUCCCCUUCGCACCAGGAGUUGCUGACAGUUUGAUGCUUUGAUACAAAAAGUAAAUGUUGAGUUCUAUCUAAAGAAGGUCAAAUUUUGUGUCGACUUUGCUUUGUGUUUGGAUAGUUAAUGCAUAUGUUUAUUUGUUAUACAGAAUACAGACUUUUGAAUUAAAUGGAUGUUUUUCCAAAUUAAAAGCUUCCUCACAAGCAAAUGGCACAUGGGAGAGAAGGUAGUGGAGUGCCAAUUCGGAGAAUAUUGAUUGAACCCACUGUACAUUAUUGAUUGGUUCAGCCAUUGUUCAGUCCUCGUCUUUCCAACAUAUUCUUACUUGGAACCAAGGUUUCAGGAGAACAUGAUACUGGGUCAAAGUCCUUAGGAAGGUGGCUUCACUUUUCAUCUGCAACAAGAGCGGCAUGCCUUUGAGGUAACCAUCAUGAAUUCUUUGAACUCAUGGCCGCAUGGUCUUCUAGAAAGUUACUGAGAGAUGUUUUACUAAAAAAGGCAGCGUCGAAUCAACAUCCCGGCGUCAGAUGUUUUUCUUCUGCGCCGCAAAGUGCUCCUAAGAUCGAUUACUAUUCCAAGAAAGGAAGGUUGUUGACAGUUUUAUGAACUUCAUGUACAAGAAGAAGAGUUCCAGGCACAAGAUGAAGGACAUGUUACUUUUAUGAUAUAUGUUAAGUUUUUGAUUCACUCAUUUUUUCACGGGUGUUUUUUUUUUCUUGAGACAGUUUUAUGAACUUCAUGCACUUUGUUGUUGAAAGUGUUCUAAACUUUUGUGUUUUUCAUAAAUUGUUCUCAUCUUUGGGAGAAAGAAAGGCACCCGGUUGAUUGAUGUGCACCGGAAGUGUUAAAGACAAUUUGUUGCUAUAUUAAAACUAAGUAUUAUCAAAUGAAAUUUUAUAGAAAGUGAUUGUUUGAGUAUUAUAAAUACAAAGAGUGAAGAUUGUAUGU